UGAGGCCACCAGCAAUCGAACUUGUUUAAGCUCUUUAUGCACCAGAGCUGUUCAGGCAUCUUUUUCAAGUAAGCACAAGGGUUGAUAAUCAAGCAUUCUAGUUUUGGCAUGGCUCCAAUCCCCAUAGUCCACUCCCCUAGCCAUAGCAUUGAUUUCAGGUGCAAUACCUUGAGAUUUGGAAAACCAUAAGAGCCACAAGUCAGCUUUCUACCUUGUGAAGAAAGCUCAUUGUGCUGAACUGAGAAAAGAGAGGAAGUCAGAAGCUAAGGUUCAUCAGCAAUGCCACGUCAACAAUGCUGAGUCAGCUGAUUCUGUUAAGCAACAAUGAGAGCUCACGUGUGUUGCAGUUAGUUAGUAUUAGCUAACCUCUUACUGAUUAGUUAGUUAAAUUUCAGAGUAAUAUAGAUUAGUUGAUAUAGCUUUUACUAACAAAAUAUGUAACUAUAUAAAGUCUGGAGUUUUACUCAUUUGUUAUUAAUAAUAAACAAUCCAGUAUAUUCAUCAUAUUUCUCUCUGUUUUCUUAGUAACCAAACAACAUUUUCGAUUCAAUUUUUCAUGGUAUCAGAGCUAGAAAUAUGGCAAGCUCAAGCAAUUUAAACACAAAUCCAAACGCAACAAACAUGAAUCAAUCAAUACAAACUACCUUUUCAUUUAUUACGCCAAUCAAAUUGGAUAGAUCCAAUUAUAUGCUCUGGCGAAAUCAAGUAUUAGCUUCCAUAAGAGGAAACAGACUCGAAGGCUAUAUCAAUGGAGAAAAAGCAGCACCUACUCAGUUUCUUACUUCUGGAAGCUAUGCUGAAACAAUGGGAAGAGUUUCACAACAAGUUGAAAAUCCAGAAUACACGAUCUGGAGAUCACAGGAUCAAACAUUACUAAGCUGGCUAUUAAGCUCAAUUACUGAAGGUAUUCUCAGUCAUGUUCAUUCUUGUAAUACUGCAUAUGAUGUGUGGAAAACUUUGGAGAAAAAGUUUGGUGCAAAAUCAGAAGCUAGAGUUCUUCAACUCAAAUAUGAGAUGAGUGUUUUGAGAAAAGAUUCGCUAAAUAUAGAGGAUUAUUGUUUGAAAAUGAAACAAAUAGCUGACAAAUUAACCUGUGCUGGUAGUCCAGUUUCUGAUAAAGAUCUGUUACAACAGAUUCUUAAUGGUCUUGGACCAGGCUAUCUAGAUUUAGCAACUUUCAUUACUGCAAGUAAGCUGGAUUUUGAUGAUUCAUAUGCAUUGCUAUUGACACAUGAAACAAGAUUAGAACAGAGUCUAAAUGAAAAACAGAUGCUCAAUGCAAAUCUUGCUAAUGUUUCUCAUAAUAACAAUAGCUAUGGUAUGAUGAAUGCUUAUUAUGCUCAAACAAGAGGUAAUGCUCGAAGAGGUGGAUAUAAUGGAGGAUUUCAUGGUGGAAAUCAAUUUGGAAGGAAUAAUUUUCAUACUGGAAAGGGAAUGUUUAUCAAUUCUCAUCCAAGAGGAUUUCCUUCUGGAUCUGGAAAUUUUGGUAAUAAUCUUGGUAGAGGUCAAAUGAUUGGAAACAACAAUAAGCAGACACAAUUCAUGAGAGGACAAUAUAGUAUUAACUCUGGUUUGUCAAAUCCUGAUGGUAGUGAUGAACAAUCUGUUGUUUGUCAAAUCUGCUUUAAAACUAGACACACAGCAGCUGAAUGUUGGCAUAGGUUUGAAGAAAACUAUAUGCCUCAACACAUGAAAAGAGGAAGAAAUCAGAGAUCAGCCUAUAUGACAUACCUUACUGCACCUUCUGAAGACUCAUGGCCUGCUACAGCUGCUUAUUCAGGGAUACCUCACAUGUAUAAUCCACCAUGUUCUUCAUACAUAUCUGAUUCAAUGAGCUUGCCUGUGGCUGGAGCUGGAGCUGCUUAUGCUGCUAACUUUGAAGGACCAGCAGAUGAAGGAUGGUAUCUUGACAGUGGAGCUACACACCAUCUGACAAAUGAUAUGGCAAAUAUGCAUGUCAGCAGUGAGUUCAGAGGUAAUGACAAGCUUAUCAUUGCUGAUGGUAAAGGUCUGUCAAUCACACAUGUUGGUAAUGCCAAUUUUAAAGUUCAAAGCUCUAAAACACAAUCUGCUAGUACAUGCAUUGCACUUAAAGAUAUACUGCUUGUUCCAUCUAUUACAAAGAACCUAAUAAGUGUUUCUAAACUCACCACUGAUAAUGACUUAUCUGUUGAAUUUCUUGGUUCUGUUUGCUUUGUGAAGGAUAUACUGAAAGGGAAAAUUCUGCUACUGGGUAUUGCUGAGAAAGGUUUAUACAAAUUGCAGCUGAGUUCAUCACCACAACCUACAUAUACAUCUUUUCUAUCCCAGAGUUCAAUAAAUAAGCCUGUAUCUAUGCUAUCUCAGUGUCAUUUCAGCACUUCAGUCAAUAGUCAUUGUUCUGGAAAAUAUUCUCAGUCCAAUAAGAACACUUGUAGCACUGAUUCAUUCAAUAAAAUGUCUUUGUUUCACAAAAGAUUUGGUCAUCCUAAUACUCAAAGUCUAAUUCAUUUACUUAAGCUUGUGCAUCCUAAUUUGUGCUCUACAAAUAUUGUUAAUCAAGCAACAAAGCAUUUCUGUGAAGCAUGUCAGCUGGGAAAAUUUCACAGACUCCACUUUCCAAUUACAGAUAUAAAAUCCAAAUCAGCACUAGAACUUGUUCAUAUUGAUUUAUGGGGUCCCUCACCAGUAUGUUCUAGAGAUGGUUUUAGAUAUUACAUUAGCUUUGUGGAUGAUUAUACAAGAUACACCUGGAUUUAUCCUUUGAAACUGAAAUCAGAAGCUCUAGAAGUGUUCAAACUGUUUAAACUUCAAGUUGAAAAUCAAUUUCAAACAACUAUCAAAAUUCUCCAAUCUGACUGGGGGGGAGAAUACAGGCCAUUCACUGCCUUCCUAAAUGAAUGUGGCAUUCUCUUUAGACAUUCUUGCCCUUACACUCACCAUCAAAAUGGCCUUGUUGAGAGGAAACACAGACAGAUUGUAGAAUUAGGAUUGACACUUCUAGCUCAAGCCAAACUCCCUUUUCAAUUCUGGUGGGAUGCUUUUCAUGCCUCAGUUUAUCACAUUAAUAGACUCCCUACUUCUGCACUUAAGAUGACCACUCCAUAUGAAAAACUUUACAAACACAAAGCUGAUUAUACCAUGCUGAAAUGCUUUGGAUGUGCUUGUUAUCCAUAUCUGAGAGAUUACAAUAAGCAUAAGUUUGACUAUCACACAACCAAGUGCAUCUUUCUUGGUUACAGCCCAUUUCAUAAAGGUUAUAAGUGUUUUCAUCCCUCUGGUCAUAUAUAUAUAGCUAGGCAUGUUGUUUUUGAUGAAUACUCAUAUCCAUUUGCUUCAGAUCCUAGCUUUCAUCCUUCAGAUAAAUCUAAGUCUGAUACAUAUUGCACAAUUACUCCUAUUCAAGUUUUUCAGUUGUCAACAUUACCUGUCAUAUCAGAUCUUUCAGUCACCAGCAAUGAAUCUUUUUCUCAAGCAUACUCCAGUGGCAACAUUUUCCCUCCAGCAGUAGUCUCAACACAGGUAACAGAUCAGCAACCCUCAAACACAGAUAGAAAUAAUUCAUCUGCACCUACAGUGUUGCCUUCUGUACCUGAUACAAUAUUAGAUCAGCCCUCAGAUGAAAUUUCCCAAAACCAACACAAUAAUAAUACCUCUCAUCUCAAUCAGACAGUGAUAACCCCACCACCAUUAAACCAACAUCCUAUGAUCACUAGAGGGAAAGCAGGUAUCUUUAAACCAAAGGUAUAUACUGCAGUAUUGUUGCAUAAAGAACCAGAUACUGCUCAGGAGGCUAUAAAUGAUGAGAGAUGGUUUCAAGCAAUGAAGACUGAAUAUGAUGCACUGAUGUCAAAUGGUACCUGGACACUUGUGCCAAGAACAGAACAUCACAAACUUGUUGGUAACAAAUGGGUGUUUCGAGUAAAAUCAAACACUGAUGGAAGUGUUGCAAAAUAUAAGGCAAGGUUGGUUGCUAAAGGAUUUCAGCAGAUAGAAGGAGUUAACUACUUUGAGACUUUCAGUCCAGUGGUGAAAGCAGCAACAGUUAGAGUGGUCCUAAGCUUAGCAGUAAUGAAUCAAUGGCAAAUAAGACAGGUUGAUGUAAAUAAUGCAUUCCUAAAUGGAGAUCUAAUUGAGGAGGUAUAUAUGAGUCAACCAGAAGGGUUUAUUGAUUCCAAAAGGCCUGAUUUUGUGUGCAAACUUCACAAGGCACUCUAUGGUUUGAAACAAGCUCCACGAGCAUGGUUUGACAAGCUGAGAAACAGUCUUAUGCAAUGGGGAUUUGAGAACUCAAAGUCUGAUUCAUCUUUGUUCUUGAAGAAGAAUAAAAGAUCAAUUAUUUUAAUCCUGAUAUAUGUAGAUGAUAUAUUGAUUACAGGAUCAAAUGGUGAUGAGCUGGAAGAUUUUAUCAAGCUAUUUAGUUCUGCAUUUGCAUUAAAGGAUCUGGGAAAGCUAUCUUACUUCCUUGGAAUAGAAGUCUUGUAUGAUACUGAUAGUGUAUAUCUAUCACAAAGGAAGUAUAUUAGAGAUCUGCUGGCUAAAGUUGAUAUGCUCGAGUGUAAAGGAAUAGACACACCAAUGAGCAGCAGCAAAGAUUACAGAUUGCAGAAGAGUGUUGAAGGAGAAAUGGGUUACUACAUAGAAGAUCCAUCUCAUUACAGAAGCAUAGUAGGAGGCCUCCAGUAUUUAGUUUUGACAAGACCUGAGAUUGCCUACUCUGUUCAUAAGCUAAGUCAGUAUGUAGCUUCACCAACACUUCAACAUCUUAUGGCUUGUAAACGUGUGCUUAGAUAUCUUAAGGAAACACAAGACUAUGGGCUGAAAUUUGUUAAAGAAGGUGAGUUGAAGGUUACAGCAUUUACAGAUGCAGAUUGGGGAAGUGAUCUUGAUGACAGAAGAUCCACUGGUGCCUAUUGUGUGUAUCUAGGGAACAAUUUAAUCUCAUGGUCCUCAAAGAAGCAAUCUGUAGUUACAAAAUCUUCUGCAGAGAGUGAAUACAGAGCACUUGCAGCAGCUGUUUCAGAGAUAACAUGGUUAAAAUCCUUAUUUCUUGAGAUUGGUUUAUGUUGUGUGGAGAAACCAGUUAUAUGGUGUGACAAUGUGAGUGCCAAAGAACUUGCUUAUAAUCCAGUGUUUCACUCAAGAACAAAACACAUAGAAAUUGAUCUGCAUUUUAUCCGAGAUAAGGUUCUAGCUGGAGAUCUUAAGAUUCUCUAUGUUCCCAGUGCAGAGCAGAUAGCAGACAUAAUGACUAAGCCUUUAAACUCUACUCAGUUCACCUAUCUGAGAGACAAACUUAAUGUGCAUUUAUGCCCCUUGAGUUUGAGAGGGGCUGUGAAGAAAGCUCAUUGUGCUGAACUGAGAAAAGAGAGGAAGUUAGAAGCUAAGGUUCAUCAGCAAUGCCACGUCAACAAUGCUGAGUCAGCUGAUUCUGUUAAGCAACAAUGAGAGCUCACGUGUGUUGCAGUUAGUUAGUAUUAGCUAACCUCUUACUGAUUAGUUAGUUAAAUUUCAGAGUAAUAUAGAUUAGUUGAUAUAGCUUUUACUAACAAAAUAUGUAACUAUAUAAAGUCUGGAGUUUUACUCAUUUGUUAUUAAUAAUAAACAAUCCAGUAUAUUCAUCAUAUUUCUCUCUGUUUUCUUAGUAACCAAACAGCAUUUUCGAUUCAAUUUUUCAUA
rnacentral:lncRNA from 1 species